rnacentral:rRNA from 1 species
UGGGGAAUAUUGGACAAUGGACCGAGAGUCUGAUCCAGCAAUUCUGUGUGCACGAUGAAGUUUUUCGGAAUGUAAAGUGCUUUCAGUUGGGAAGAAAGAAAUGACGGUACCAACAGAAGAAGUGACGGCUAAAUACGUGCCAGCAGCCGCGGUAAUACGUAUGUCACGAGCGUUAUCCGGAUUUAUUGGGCGUAAAGCGCGUCUAGGUGGUUAUAUAAGUCUGAUGUGAAAAUGCAGGGCUCAACUCUGUAUUGCGUUGGAAACUGUAUAACUAGAGUACUGGAGAGGUAAGCGGAACUACAAGUGUAGAGGUGAAAUUCGUAGAUAUUUGUAGGAAUGCCGAUGGGGAAGCCAGCUUACUGGACAGAUACUGACGCUGAAGCGCGAAAGCGUGGGUAGCAAACAGGAUUAGAUACCCUGGUAGUCCACGCUGUAAACGAUGAUUACUAGGUGUUGGGGGUCGAACCUCAGCGCCCAAGCAAACGCGAUAAGUAAUCCGCCUGAGGAGUACGUACGCAAGUAUG